rnacentral:rRNA from 1 species
UACGUAGGGUGCAAGCGUUAAUCGGAAUUACUGGGCGUAAAGCGUGCGCAGGCGGUUGUGCAAGACAGGUGUGAAAUCCCCGGGCUUAACCUGGGAACUGCGUUUGAAACUACAAGGCUAGAGUGUAGCAGAGGGGGGUGGAAUUCCACGUGUAGCAGUGAAAUGCGUAGAGAUGUGGAGGAACACCGAUGGCGAAGGCAGCCCCCUGGGUUAACACUGACGCUCAGGCACGAAAGCGUGGGGAGCAAACAGG